CCUCCCAGUUAGUUAGGUGGGUGUGCAUGUCAGGGGCUGUAAGAAGUUGUACUGUUGGAGAGACUGAACUGUACACACCAUAUCAAUCACAAGGAAGGAGGCCCUGAGUUGCUGUGGACUUUCUCUUUAAUACAUCUCUUCUGAAUCCUCACUCAUUCUAUGUCUCCAUUCUCCUAUUAAAUAGUGCCCAUUCUUAUUAUGCUUCUCCUGGCUGAAAGGACCACAACAGAUGUUGGUGCUGGUGUAGAGUUAUCAGUCUUUGGGGAAGAGACUCUAGAACAACACAAUUUUCUCUCUUCCUUUGCAUGUUAGAAGUACAGUGUUUGCAAGAUUAUUUGAGUUAAGCGGAAGGAGAUCCCCUGUCCUAAUUAAAUAUGUCUCAUGUGUCCUGUUGAUUCUGAACCCAAGAGGCUGGCACUUCAUCUGAAGACAAUGAAAAGGUUCCUGUUCAACUUCAAUGGGCUUUGGAACAGACCCUAGCAGACUGACCCAGAUAAGAGAAGGUACAAUGGAAAAUCCAGCAGAGGGAGUCAUUUUAAAAAGAAAAGUUAUUAACAAACUUCUUAUGGGAAUUGUGAAAUAAGUGAGUCUUUAGGAGUUUAUUUGAAUGUGAAUGGGUAGGGCACUUGGUCAACUAGGAUUCACUAACAUUUGAAAUGUGUUUGAAAUAUUUUUCUUUAAAAAAUAGAAACUGUAAAAAAACAUAUUCCUAUAAGAGAGCAAAGGACAGUUUGUUGCAGAUACAUGUUCUAAACCACUCAGGACUAGAUUCUCUUCUGUACAGACAUCUGAUAGGGUGGGGGGUUAGUGGGUGGGGGACUUGAGGAUUGGAGUGUCAUUAGGGAGCCAGUUCUGGCAUCUUGAUUCUGGUACCACAGCUACUCUGACUCCAAUGUAUCUUAAAGAAACAUACACCAGUUGAGGAUUCAUGGAACUCAGAUGUACUCCACCCCACCCCCCCUCAUGCUCCCUCCCUCCCAUGACAUGUCCUCUAUGGGUGGGUGGCUGCCCUCCCUUACCUCUUCAUGCUAGCUAAGCGUUGUCCCACCAAGUGGAUUCUCAGCUGAGCAGCUGAGGCCCUUUGCACUACUAAGGCAGAGGUGUAGUUUGACUUCUAUAUUUGGGGGGGUGGCAGUUCCAGUCAGACCAACGGGCUACAUAUGGAGGAGGUAAAUUCCACACCUGCCCAAGGCUUGUAGUUUGGGGGGACAACGCUCCCCCUGCUCCCCUCCAUCAAAGUACACCCAUGUGGUGGAGCAGAGGAGUUAGGCACAGCAGAGAAAACCUGGUGUGACAGGGGCCCUGUGUCGAGCUAGGGUGCCCCCGUUGGCCCAGUGUGGCAUUGGUGUACCUUACCCCAUCAUUGGGAUCCCCCCAUUAAGCAGGUGAUUUCGGCCAAGUGGGUCCCAGCCCCCUGACAGUCACUUAGACAUAUAGUCCGUAGUCUCUGGGCUAUAUAGUCGGUAGCCCUGUGGCCUCUUGGCUGGGGCAAAAUGAACAACCGGUCUAGAGCCCUGCAGUCUCCAGGCUGAGCAGGCAGGAACACUCUGGGAAUUAGUCCCCUGGGAGGGCAAAGCAGCGAGCAGGCUGCAGCCCCUGGGCAGAGCAAAGCAAGCAAACAGUCUGUGGCCUGCAGCCUCCUGGCUGGGGCAGGCAGUUGCCCUGGGGGAAAUUAGCCCUCUGGGCAGGGAAAAAUAUCAAUCAGUCCAUGGCCCCUGGCAAAGCAAACAAACAGUCUAUAGGCCUUACUACUCUCUUGGCUGAGAUGUAGAACAGGCAGCAGCUUCCAUAGCGGGUGGUGACUUGGCUUCCCAGGUAGUCUCUGCAGUUGGUGAGUCACCUGGCGCGUAGUUUGGGUCUUCGGGCUCUACCGCCAGGCGAGUCGCAGGAACCUGCAGGGUACGUCCUUCCUCCUCCGUCGCCCACCCUGACUGAGCUGGGCUGCCUCCUUUUAUCUGGCUUCUCCACCUGGAGCAUGUGCAGCAGGAGAAAGGGGCCCACAAUGAUUGAUCCGCCCCCAGUGGCCCAGUGCAGGGCUGGUACAUCCCGUCCCACCUGGCUACAGAUGUUCUGUUUUAAAAGCAAUAAUUAAGAUGACUAGAAAAUUAGAAAAUCAUCCAAAUCCAGGGGGCCAGGAGACAUGCAACAGUAGAGGGAUUCCAUCUUUUACAUGGUUUCACUGUUUGCACUUGUUAAUGCACUGUUUGUUGUUUGUUUGUUUGUUUGUUUGUAGGUUCUGUUGUUACUUGUGUGUUAAUGUGGUAAUGGCAGUUGACUUGCAUGGCAACAGGUGAAUGUUGUACUUGUUUAUAAAUACAGCUUUUUAUUUUA